GUAUGGUGCAAGCGUUAUCCGGAUUUACUGGGUGUAAAGGGAGCGUAGACGGAUGGGCAAGUCUGAUGUGAAAACCCGGGGCUCAACCCCGGGACUGCAUUGGAAACUGUUCAUCUAGAGUGCUGGAGAGGUAAGUGGAAUUCCUAGUGUAGCGGUGAAAUGCGUAGAUAUUAGGAGGAACACCAGUGGCGAAGGCGGCUUACUGGACAGUAACUGACGUUGAGGCUCGAAAGCGUGGGGAGCAAACAGGAUUAGAUACCCUGGUAGUCCACGCCGUAAACGAUGACUACUAGGUGUCGGGUGGCAAAGCCAUUCGGUGCCGCAGCAAACGCAAUAAGUAGUCCACCUGGGGAGU
rnacentral:rRNA from 1 species